rnacentral:rRNA from 1 species
UACGGGGGGGGUAAGCGUUGUUCGGAAUUACUGGGCGUAAAGGGCGCGUAGGCGGGUUCGUAGGUCUGUGGUGAAAGCCCCCAGCUUAACUGGGGAAGUGCCAUGGAUACUGCGAGUCUUGAGGAGGGUAGGGGCAUCUGGAACACUGGGUGGAGCGGUGAAAUGCGUUGAUAUCCAGUGGAACUCCGGUGGCGAAGGCGAGGUGCUGGACCCUUUCUGACGCUGAUGCGCGAAAGCCAGGGGAGCAAACGGG